rnacentral:misc_RNA from 1 species
CAACUGAUCGUCCAGAACCACACUGCACAAGUAUAACAAGAUCAGAGGAGAACUAUAGGAAAAUGAAAUCCAUAGGAAAUUACAAUGAACUAAUAAGAGAGAGGGAGAGGGGUUGCAAAAGAGAGCUUAAUGAAAAGCACUACAACCCGAGCAAGCAAUGAAGAAAUUCAUUUUUAAAAAAAAAAUGACCAAUGCAGUACAAGAAACCCACCAUAAGUACUACAAAACCAGCUCAGCUAAUGUCAGUAUUAUAUUUUUAAACCAACGCGAGUUUUGUAAUAGCAUGAUUCUAUUAGGACCCAACCUUCAUCAGGUUACCACAUACAUGAGAAGAAGCAGAAGGAGAAGAAUGCCUAAGAACCACUCAAUCAUGGGCUAAAAAUUCUGAGAGUAGGAAAAUCUUAAAAUCAUCCUAAGCCUCCCUAAGAUGACAACUUAAGAUGCACUAUUAUGGCAAUAACGGCAAAACUGACAAAAUUACAACGUAAGAUUUUCCAAAUCAAUAUCAAAAGUAAAAAUAAGGCCAAAUGCAUCUAGGCACCAUUGUACAUAGAGGUGGACAAACAGUCAGCUCAGUUCAGAAUCAAACCAAACCCAAAAACUGAUAAACCAAACCCAAAAACUGAUACUCAUUUUAUGAUAAACAGAACUGAACUAAGACUAAGAGACCAACCAAACCAAACCGAAAUAAGUUGGUUCAAUACGGUUCGGUAGAUUGGUUAUUAGCCAAUUCUGCUUCCUGUCAAAUUGAAUGCUUCAUGCAAGAACAUUUGCAGCAAUAAAACUCCAAUACACAGCUUUUUAGUCCAGUUUUAAUUUGGAACAAAACAAUGAAGACCAAUAAGGCAUUGAUCUUCCAAUCACAGCAAGGAAGUCGACAAAGCAAAACAAACCCACAUCUAAAACAUCCAGAUUUAAACAUUUAGACCCAUUAGAUUACGGAGAAAUCACAAAACGCCAGUUGUAUCCAAAAGCAAACUCAUGUAUGCUACAUGGAAAAAAUACGAUGCUGAGUUACUGACAAGAAAAAAACUCUACCUUGUAGUCAAUAAAUUGAUGAAUAAACACCAUAAGUAUUGAAAUAGAAAAGGGUAGAAAUAAGAAGGAAGAGCAGAAGACGACCUUGAAGCCCACAUGGCCAAAUUUUCAACAAUCAAAUAGACAACCUGCAGAGGGGUGGAUGUUUGCGUGGCAAUAGAAGGGACUGAAAGCAAUGGCAGAGCCAUAAGGGAAUCCCUUGAAGUGAUGCUGAGAAUCCCUCCAAUAUUCUCCACCGAUGAAAAAAAGAAUCCCUUUAGACUCUGGGACUGAAAUGCAUCAAUGGAGGAAAGGAACGGAGGCAAUGGGCAAAUCAUCAAUGGAGGAAGAGUGACAGAGUUGCAGAGCCGCAGGGCAAAGAGAACAGAGAAAUUUUUCAUUUCCAAAGGGCAGACACCAGAGGCGGCGUUUCAUUCGCAAGGGGGCACAAAAGCCAUAACAACCCUAACAACUAGAACACAGUGCUUUGAACAUUUUGGUUUGGUUCAGUUUUUCUAAUUUUUUUGCCAAAAACCGAACCGAAUAAACCGAGAAUUACAAAAAUAAAAACCAAACUAAACUGAAUUUUUGGUGAGAAAAAUCAAACCUAAUGUUCGAAAUAAAGCGGUUCGGUCCAUAUUUUUGGUUUGAAAAAUUCUGCUCACCCAGUUACCCCUUGUACAUAUUUCAAAUGAGGAAUUACACCUUCAAUUAUUUAUUUUGUUCAAAUUGAUGCAAGAAGAAGAAGGCCUCAGAAACACUCAAUAUAUCUGUCAUUGUCCAAACAAUCCGACAAUGUAGGCAAAUCUUAAAAUCAUCCUAGGCCUCUUCAAGAAAAGAUUUGACAAAUGACCAUUUAAACACAACAUCAAGGCAAUAACAGAAAAUUAAAAAAUUACAAUAUAU